rnacentral:rRNA from 1 species
UACGAAGGGGGCUAGCGUUGCUCGGAAUCACUGGGCGUAAAGCGCACGUAGGCGGAUCUUUAAGUCAGGGGUGAAAUCCUGGAGCUCAACUCCAGAACUGCCUUUGAUACUGGGGAUCUCGAGUCCGGAAGAGGUGAGUGGAACUCCGAGUGUAGAGGUGAAAUUCGUAGAUAUUCGCAAGAACACCAGUGGCGAAGGCGGCUCACUGGUCCGGUACUGACGCUGAGGUGCGAAAGCGUGGGGAGCAAACAGG